CCACCCUGCUGGCCUGCACGCACCCAUCUGGUGCUGCGGGAAGGCCCUGACCCCUCCUGAGGAGUCCGACAUGCUGAGCGCCGGGGGCUGCCUCCAUCUCACAGCCGGAGGGAGCCCCCGCCACAGGCUCCGGGGGCCCCCCUCUGUUGAAAAGGAACGGUGCUGUUCGUUCGUGAGUGGCCCUUCGGGGACGGAGAGGCUGCCUUUCCCGACGGCUGAAGCUGGGAGGGCCGAUCCUGGCCCUCCCCUCCCCUCCAGUCCUGAGGGAGGUGGCCUGGCAACACCUGACUUGCAACUGAAAGGAGACACCUCUGUGGUUUCAAGGCCCCUAGUUUGUUGCACACGUUACAAGCAGUCGAGAAAACUAAUACAACUGACAAAUAGCACAAUUAUUUUUCCUCAGCAGAAAGAGAAACAGCUGCAGUGUGUACCGACUCUUGCCACCUUCCCUUCUACACAGCCACACCCGAGCUUGCCCGGCGAGGAUGCGUGAGGGGCUGGAGGGAGGCCCCGCUGGGACAGGCAUCUGUCUGUGCUUCCAUCUUGCCUGCCUUGCCGGACACCCUGUUUCACGGUGCGGGCCCACUGCCACCCCCAGGCACCGAGCCAGCACCCACUGUGUGCAGAACUCACAGGGUCAUCAACGCAGAGUGUCUGAGGUGGUUUUAACACCUGUCCCCAGAGUCUGUGACAUUCCUCCUUUCCAAAGGUAGAGCCUCACCCACCCCCCCACCUUGAGGGUAGGCUGUUCUGAAUGACUCACUUGUGCUUCCGUGACUAGUUCACGCCCAUGUGAGCCAGCCGACUUGGAAGUGGGUACUCCAACCCCACACAGCCUCCAGACAACCUCCACUGAUGUCCUGACUGCAGCCUCCCGAGAGGCUCUGUGCCAGAACCACCCAGCUCCCGAAGUCCUGACUCGACAGAAACGAUGUUUGUUGUUUUCAGCCACUGCUUGGACUCACUUGUUACACAGCAGUAGGUUACGAAUACAGCUCCAACUGGCUUCCCAGGAGUCCCCCGUUUGUUUGCUGCUCUUUGUUAAGGAGAAGCAUGAUUGCUUUUCUGCAAAGGAUUCCCCAUCAUCUCCCAACCUCAGAGGCUCCAUAUGGUGACUGCCCCUCAGUGCCUUAGCAGGGCCGCCUAAGAGUUCCCCAUGUUGGGGCCAGAUCUGUGUCUGUGAACAGUCAGCUGCCCAACGGGGUCCACAGAGCCAUGGGACACACCCUGGGAUUCUAGGACCACCCCCCGUCCGAGCAAGACCCACAGCCAUGGUGAGAAGGGCAGGCCCCAGACCUCAGACCCUGACCUUCCUCUGCAGCGGCAAGCUGAGAGCCCGGCCCACAGGAGGGCGCAGCCCUGGGGGAGCUGGGGUGGCCCCACCUGCAGCAGAGGUCCCAGCCUCCUCCCUCCCACCCCCACUGUCUCCUGGGGCUCCGGAGGGGAAAGUGGGCUUGCGUGCUGUUUAUAUGCUCUUUUCUUAAAAUCGCCAUUGUUGUGAGAA